GACGAACGCUGGCGGCGUGCCUAACACAUGCAAGUCGAGCGGAGACAGUGAGUAGCUUGCUACGAACNGUUUUAGCGGCGGACGGGUGAGUAACGCGUGAGCAACUUCCCCAGACAGGGGAAUAACACACCGAAAGGUGUACUAAUACCGCAUAAGACCACAGAGCCGCAUGGCUCAGUGGGAAAAACUCCGGUGGUAUGAGAUGGACCCGCGUCUGAUUAGGUAGUUGGUGGGGUAACGGCCUACCAAGCCAACGAUCAGUAGCCGACCUGAGAGGGUGACCGGCCACAUUGGGACUGAGACACGGCCCAAACUCCUACGGGAGGCAGCAGUGGGGAAUAUUGCACAAUGGGGGAAACCCUGAUGCAGCGACGCCGCGUGAGCGAAGAAGUAUUUCGGUAUGUAAAGCUCUAUCAGCAGGGAAGAAAAUGACGGUACCUGACUAAGAAGCACCGGCUAAAUACGUG
rnacentral:rRNA from 1 species